ACGAACGCUGGCGGCGUGCUUAACACAUGCAAGUCGAACGGAAAGGCCCUGCUUUUGUGGGGUGCUCGAGUGGCGAACGGGUGAGUAACACGUGAGUAACCUGCCCUUGACUUUGGGAUAACUUCAGGAAACUGGGGCUAAUACCGGAUAGGAGCUCCUGCUGCAUGGUGGGGGUUGGAAAGUUUCGGCGGUUGGGGAUGGACUCGCGGCUUAUCAGCUUGUUGGUGGGGUAGUGGCUUACCAAGGCUUUGACGGGUAGCCGGCCUGAGAGGGUGACCGGCCACAUUGGGACUGAGAUACGGCCCAGACUCCUACGCGAGGCAGCAGUGGGGAAUAUUGCACAAUGGGCGGAAGCCUGAUGCAGCAACGCCGCGUGCGGGAUGACGGCCUUCGGGUUGUAAACCGCUUUCGCCUGUGACGAAGCGUGAGUGACGGUAAUGGGUAAAGAAGCACCGGCUAACUACGUG
rnacentral:rRNA from 1 species